rnacentral:rRNA from 1 species
UGCUGUCACUUAUAGAUGGAUCCGCGCUGCAUUAGCUAGUUGGUAAGGUAACGGCUUACCAAGGCAACGAUGCAUAGCCGACCUGAGAGGGUGAUCGGCCACACUGGAACUGAGACACGGUCCAGACUCCUACGGGAGGCAGCAGUAGGGAAUCUUCCGCAAUGGGCGAAAGCCUGACGGAGCAACGCCGCGUGAGUGAUGAAGGUCUUCGGAUCGUAAAACUCUGUUAUUAGGGAAGAACAUAUGUGUAAGUAACUGUGCACAUCUUGACGGUACCUAAUCAGAAAGCCACGGCUAACUACGUGCCAGCAGCCGCGGUAAUACGUAGGUGGCAAGCGUUAUCCGGAAUUAUUG